AAAAACUUCAAAGGAAGGUGGAAUUUCAUCAUAACAAGUAAAAUAAAAAAAAGUCAGACAUAUAGUAUUAUUACAAAUAUACGUUUAUUUAUUAAAAACAUGCUUGGUCAUACUUACAAAUACAGAACUUAACCUCCUCUCUGAAUACUUACCUCAGCUGUCUGGAGGAAGAAU